CCUACGGGGUGCAGCAGUGGGGAAUAUUGGACAAUGGGCGAAAGCCUGAUCCAGCCAUGCCGCGUGUGUGAAGAAGGCCUUCGGGUUGUAAAGCACUUUCAGUGGGGAAGAAAGCCUUGGGGCUAAUACCCUCGAGGAAGGACAUCACCCACAGAAGAAGCACCGGCUAACUCCGUGCCAGCAGCCGCGGUAAUACGGAGGGUGCGAGCGUUAAUCGGAAUUACGGGGCGUAAAGCGCGCGUAGGCGGUCUGAUAAGCCGGUUGUGAAAGCCCCGGGCUCAACCUGGGAACGGCAUCCGGAACUGUCAGGCUAGAGUGCAGGAGAGGAAGGUAGAAUUCCCGGUGUAGCGGUGAAAUGCGUAGAGAUCGGGAGGAAUACCAGUGGCGAAGGCGGCCUUCUGGACUGACACUGACGCUGAGGUGCGAAAGCGUGGGUAGCAAACAGGAUUAGAUACCCCUGUAGUC
rnacentral:rRNA from 1 species